GUGGCUGUGCCUGAGAGCCGUUGGAGGAGGGAGCCCCGCUUUCCCUCUCCUGUCUCCUAGUUCUCCUAUUGCGCUUUUCCUGGGGGAUCUUUCUCCCUCUGUCUCCGCCCCCUAAUCCAUGCUCCCGAUAAUGAGGGUGGGGGAUGGUGGUAGGAGAACGCUCGGCGCCUGCGCACUAGCUUCAGGCCGCGGGCCGGCCCAAGAGCGGAGGUAGAGGGAACGACGCAUGCUUGAGAAAUGGCGGGAAACAGAGGAGGCUCGAGGCUUGCUCACACGCACACAGCCAACUGCUUCUGGACCGCCUUGCUCACACGCACACAGCCAACUGCUUCUGGACCGCCUGAAAGGCAACCUCGCCCGCCGCGGUGGUGUGGGGCGGGCAUCCCUUGAGACUGUGCUCUGGAGGCCUGGAGAAACAGCUUUCUAUCCUCAGCACUGGGGAGAGCAGGCCUCAAUCCCUGCCUUUGCCUGCCGCCCCUCUUCCUUCCCUCUCAAAGCAUACCCAGCAGCCCCGGCGCUGAGAAACGCGUUACUCUCUUAUCAGCUGUGGGAGAGACAAGACAGACUGGCCUCUGGGCGGAGGGGCCGCCAUUGCCUGCCCUCUGGACCAGGGCCUCACAGAUACCCUCAGCUUCAGGAUUAGGGCUGCGUUGGUUUUUCCCCCCACAUCAGGGGACUUCAACAAGUAACCUCCAGUUCCAUAGAUAAAACUUGUAUUCCCCCCUUCUCCAUGGCAGGGGUUUUGAGCCUAGAGAAGGAAGAUCGGAGCUUCCUGGGGCUCCUGUGAAGCAGGCAGGGGGCAGCACUGGGCCCCGGGAAGAGGCGGAGAAGGCGAGGGAGUGCCUGCGGUGAGCCCAGAGCCUUGGGCCCGUUAUCCUCUGAUGCUGCUCCCCCAACUUUCCUGCCGUCAGUCCCUGACCUUGCCUGAGACCUUGGCGGCUCCCGCACCUCUCUCCCGGCUCCUCCUUGCUGAGAACACAACCCGCAAGGCCCUUCCGCCUGGCUGGACUGAGUCCCCUAUGGAGGCAGCCUGGCAGGGAGCAGGUAUCUUCCUGGCAGAAGAGGACAGACCUGGUAAACUGAGAGACUGUUGAUGCCCCAAUGUUCUGCCUAGCCUGCCUGGAAACUCCAGAAGGCUUCUGCUUUGUAAUCAUACGGACAGUUGUGCUUGUCAGAGUUAACGGUGAAGUCCACAAAACAAAUUUCCACAUCGGCAGUCAAACCUAUACAGCAAGAAAGCAGCAUCUGCAAGAAAGCCCUCACCAGGACCAAAUCAGCUGACACCUCAACCUUGGACUACCCAGCUUCCCGAACUGUGAGUUUCUCCAUCAACUUAGCUGGCAGCUCCUGUCCCCAGCAGCAUCAGAGGCCCCAUGAAAAGAGCUCCAGCAGGGGCUCAGCCUGCAUGGGUCCCAUGCGGCAGCCUCAGUGUCAGAGCCUGGAUGGCAGUUUAAAGGAAGCAGCUGGCGAGAGGGGAGCCCAGCACACUAUGCAAGAGAGAUGCCUCUAAGAUUUUAUCUGUGGCCACCGACUGGAGCCAUUUGGACCGGGUACAGCAGUGGAAACUCUGUGAUGGUGACAAACAUGGGAAUCACUCUGAUGUGACGCAGUUAAAUUUACACCUUAAAAAAUGGAUGCCAAGACAACAUAAACAAGACCCAGGGACACCAACAGGGUAUGGUGCUGUGCCCCAGAGUCAGGGUCCUGGGUUCUUACCCAGGGAAGUGAGAAAUAAAGAUAACUUUUCCCUGCUCCCUCUCUCCUCCCCUGACACUGAUCUUCCCACCCUGUACCUCCCUCUUCUGCUCCCAAACCCCCACCCAGUGCUCAGUCGCAGACAUCACUGCCUGCAGGGCAUGCACAGUGCAGCCCAUUGCACACAAACUACAAACUCACAGAAGGUGAUGACAAUUUGUGUUUGGGACGUCUGAUUGUGAAAGAGGGAGGACAGCGUACUUGCAGCCACAGAGACUGAAACUGGAACGUGAUGGAACGGGGCUGGAACGUGAUGGAGCUCUGACAUAACAGACGUGUGACUUUGUGUGAAAUGUGCAGAUCCAUGUGGAAUAAAACACAGCCUAGCCUGUGGCUGCUGCCGUCCACAUUUCCCUCAUCUUCCAACAGAAGUCAGCAGGGUCCCU
rnacentral:lncRNA from 1 species